AGCUGAGAAGCAAAAGCGCUUGGCUUCAGAACAAAAAAGUUCCAGGUUCAAAUCCUGG
rnacentral:tRNA from 1 species